CCCAAACUUUGGAGAAGGCAACAUAAGGUCCCAGGUUGGGCAUUUUGUAUUGGAUCUUAAUUCAUGAUCGCCAUUACCAACUCUCCAAGUCGGGCAUUGCCAUUCUUAGCUAGGCAAUUUUCCAAGCUCAUCUCUCAAAAGCUCCAAGUAGCUCCCAGGCACUACUCCUCUCAAAGCAUCAGGAAUCACGGAGAUGAAGAAUUGGAUGCUAAUGUUAAACCAAAGGCUUCUACAAAAACCAUUAAGGCUAAAUCCAUGGCCAGACUCAUCAACUCCAAACCCUGGUCUGCUGAGCUUGAGUCUUCGCUCUCAUCUAUCUCUCCCUCAUUCUCAAAAACUACUGUCCUCCAAGUUCUUCGUUUAAUCAGGACCCCAUCAAAAGCCCUUCAAUUCUUCAAUUGGGUUUCACAAAUGGGGUUCACUCACAACGACCAAUCUUAUUUCUUGAUGUUAGAAAUCUUGGGUCGUGCUCGGAAUCUCAAUGUAGCGCGUAAUUUCCUCUUCUCCAUCAAGAGAAAGUCCAAUGGGAUGGUUAAGCUAGAGGAUAGAUUUUUUAAUAGCUUAAUUAGGAGUUAUGGUAGAGCUGGGUUGUUUCAAGAGUCUGUAAAGCUUUUUGCUUCGAUGAAAUCUGUUGGAGUUUCUCCAUCUGUGGUCACGUUUAAUAGUCUUUUGCUAAUUUUGCUAAAACGUGGACGGACCAAUAUGGCCCAGAGUGUGUUUGAUGAAAUGCUCAGCACAUAUGGUGUUACGCCUGACACUUAUACUUUCAACAUUCUGAUUAGAGGUUUCUGUAAGAAUUCAAUGGUCGAUGAGGGGUUUAGGUAUUUCAAGGAAAUGUCUCGUUUUAAUUGUGAUCCUGAUAUUGUAACUUAUAAUACGCUUGUUGAUGGGUUGUGUAGAGCAGGGAAGGUUAAGAUUGCGCAUAAUGUCGUUAAGGGGAUGGUUAAGAAAAGUGCAGAUUUGAACCCUGAUGUUGUUACUUACACCACUUUGGUUAGAGGGUAUUGUAUGAAGCAAGAUAUUGAUGAGGCUUUGGUUGUUUUUCAAGAGAUGGCGAAUAAAGGAUUAAAACCAAAUGAAGUUACUUAUAACACUCUUAUUAAGGGUCUUUGUGAAGCGCAGAGGAUUGAUAAGAUCAAAGAUAUUUUGGAGGGAGCCUUGGGUGUUGGAGGAUUUACUCCUGAUACCUGUACUUUUAAUACAUUGAUGAAUGCACAUUGCAAUGCAGGGAAUUUGAAUGAAGCCCUGAAGACGUUUGAGAAGAUGAUGGAGUGGAAGGUCCAACCAGAUUCUGCUACAUAUAGUGUUCUGAUUAGAAAUUUGUGUCAAAGAGGGGACUUUGAGAGAGCAGAGGAGUUGUUUGAUGAGCUAUUGGACAAGGAUAUUUUAUUAAGAGAUGAUGGGUGUACACCUUUGGUUGCAGCAUACAAAUCCAUGUUUGAGUUUUUGUGUAAAAAUGGGAAGACUAACAAGGCAGAAAGAGUUUUCAGGCAGCUAAUGAAAAGGGGAACACAAGAUCCUCCUUCUUACAAGACACUGAUAAUGGGGCACUGUAGUGAAGGUACAUGUGAAGCUGGUUAUGAGCUCUUGGUCUUGAUGUUAAGAAGAGAAUUUGUGCCUGAUUUUGAGACCUAUCAGUCAUUGAUUGAUGGUCUCUUGCAGAAAGGUGAACCUCUUCUUGCCUACCAGACUCUAGAGAAGAUGAUAAAGAGCUCCCAUGUCCCUAAAACUUCUACUUUCCAUUCUAUAUUAGCAGGACUUCUGGAAAAGGGACGUGCGCAUGAAUCAGCUAGAUUUAUAUUAUUGAUGUUAGAGGGAAAAAUUAGACAAAAUGUGAAACUAUCAACACAUACUAUGAGAUUACUCUUUAGUAGUGGACUACGAGAUAAAGCAUUUCAGAUUGUUGGGUUACUUUAUGAUAAUGGGUAUGUUGUUGGCAUGGAAGAAUUGAUUGUUUUCCUUUCCCAAAAUAGAAAGUUACUAGAGGCGCACAAAAUGGUGCUGUUUUGUUUGGAGAAACAUCAGAAUGUUGAUAGUGGUAUAUGUGAUGCAGUAAUUGAAGGUCUAUGCAAAAUGAAAAAACUUUCGGAAGCAUUUAAGUUGUACUAUGAAUUGGUGGAGAAAGGCAAUCAUCAACAGCUUAGCUGCCUAGAAGAUCUGAGAGUUGCCUUAGAAGCUGGGGGAAGAUCAGAAGAAGUAAAGUUUCUAUCUAAGAGGAUGCCAAAUAAGUGGCAUUCAGACAAACCUCCAGAAACCAGCUACAGGGUGCAGAGACCUUAGAGCUUAAGGUCUGAUUGCAUCAUUCAACUGAGUUGAGGAAACCUGUUUUUGAUUAAUUGAGUUUGAACUCUUUGGCCAUCUCUCUGUUACCGACCUGCAUCUGCAAAUAUUCUUGUUUUCUUGUUAUUUAAAUUUUUGCUGUAGUAUUGUGUCCUCAAGUGUUAAAGAUUGUUGUUUUUCAAAGAGGGCCAAAUCCACUCCAAAACUAAAGCUUCUUAGGUAUGUUGCAAAGAACAGCUGUGCAAUCUACUCAAGGCAACAUACGAGCAUGUAAACGAACAUCCUUCAUCAACUGAUGUGAGUUUGGAAUCCUGCAAUGCAUCUACAGAGAAUCCUUAUUGCCUUUUGCUGUGCUCUUGACAACUUAUGACAAAGCACUGAUGGAGCUAGAUUUUCUUUCCCAAAUUCCUUGGCAUCAUUUAAACCUUCCGAAAGAGUGCUUCCUCAUGCCAAGGCUGCCAUUGACGACUGACACCCCUAUUCAGAAUAAUCUCACUGAACUCUGGGCUUUGAUGCAUUUUUGCUUGCCUUGAGAGUUUGGACAUGUGGCAGUUCCUUUCCACAUUCAAAGAAGCUGGAGAUCCUCAGGAGGCUAUCCUCUUAUAUGGUUUGAGCAAGUAGUAUGAGAACUGGCGUCACCUAGAAUUAUGCUGUGUAAUCUUGUAAUUGGCCAUUUAGACAAAAAAAAAAUUCAAAACUUAGGAGUAACUAUUAUUGUAGGCAAAACUUUUAAUUUUGUGUAUUAUAACUGAAUUUUAGUUAAUUAUUAUAAUUGUAGUUA